rnacentral:sRNA from 1 species
AAAAAAAACAUACAGAAAUCCGGUUAGACUGUGAUCGUUAGUGCAUACGUCUCUGUUUAUAUCAUUUCUAUAAAAUUUAAUACUGGAUCAUGUCUUCUGAAAGAAAUUUGCCUGUUGGGAGGAUACGAAAACAGAGGUGUGUCAUUGAUCCUUUUGGCGUAACCAGUUCAGUGAUGGGUCCUAGCAGGCCCCAGGCCUAUAGGAAUAGGCUCAUGUGUGAUUACUGUGGAAAUCAAUAUGAAAAAAAUUAUGUUAUGAAGCAUUUAAAUGGCUGUAUGAAGAAGAUCGAAUCUAAGAAGUUGAAGAAUCAUGACAUCAGAGAUUACAUCUGUUGACUGAAUAUUGUUAUAUCACAUGUGGUGAUUUUAUCUACUCAGAAUAAAUGUAUCGACAAUCC